UACGGAGGAUGCGAGCGUUAUCCGGAUUUAUUGGGUUUAAAGGGUGCGUAGGCGGACUGUCAAGUCAGCGGUAAAAUUGAGAGGCUCAACCUCUUCCCGCCGUUGAAACUGGUGGUCUUGAGUGGAUGAGAAGUACGCGGAAUGCGUGGUGUAGCGGUGAAAUGCAUAGAUAUCACGCAGAACUCCGAUUGCGAAGGCAGCGUACCGGCAACCAACUGACGCUGAGGCACGAAAGCGUGGGGAUCAAACAGG
rnacentral:rRNA from 1 species